rnacentral:rRNA from 1 species
AUUGAACGCUGGCGGCAGGCCUAACACAUGCAAGUCGAGCGGUAACACAGAGAGCUUGCUCUCGGGUGACGAGCGGCGGACGGGUGAGUAAUGUCUGGGAAACUGCCUGAUGGAGGGGGAUAACUACUGGAAACGGUAGCUAAUACCGCAUAACGUCGCAAGACCAAAGUGGGGGACCUUCGGGCCUCAUGCCAUCAGAUGUGCCCAGAUGGGAUUAGCUAGUAGGUGGGGUAAUGGCUCACCUAGGCGACGAUCCCUAGCUGGUCUGAGAGGAUGACCAGCCACACUGGAACUGAGACACGGUCCAGACUCCUACGGGAGGCAGCAGUGGGGAAUAUUGCACAAUGGGCGCAAGCCUGAUGCAGCCAUGCCGCGUGUAUGAAGAAGGCCUUCGGGUUGUAAAGUACUUUCAGCGAGGAGGAAGGCGUUAAGGUUAAUAACCUUGGCGAUUGACGUUACCUGCAGAAUAAGCACCGGCUAACUCCGUGCCAGCAGCCGCAGUAAAAC